AAUUCUUGGUGUAGCGGUNAAAUGCGUNGAUAUCGAGAGGAACACCUGCGGCGAAGGCGGGUUGCUGGGCCGACACUGACNCUGAGGCGCAAAAGCUAGGGGAGCGAACGGGAUUANAUACCCCGGUAGUCCUNGCCUUAAACGAUGAAUGCUUGGUGUCUGGGGUUAUAAAGUCCCCGGGUGCCGUCNCUAACGCUUUAANCAUUCCGCCUGGGGAGUACGGUCGCAAGACUGAAACUCAAAGG
rnacentral:rRNA from 1 species